rnacentral:rRNA from 1 species
UAUCGGAUUACUGGGCGUAAGCGCACGCAGGCGGUCUGUCAAGUCGGAUGUGAAAUCCCCGGGCUCAACCUGGGAACUGCAUUCGAAACUGGCAGGCUGGAGUCUUGUAGAGGGGGGUAGAAUUCCAGGUGUAGCGGUGAAAUGCGUAGAGAUCUGGAGGAAUACCGGUGGCGAAGGCGGCCCCCUGGACAAAGACUGACGCUCAGGUGCGAAAGCGUGGGGAGCAAACAGGAUUAGAUACCCUGGUAGUCCACGCUGUAAACGAUGUCGACUUGGAGGUUGUUCCCUUGAGGAGUGGCUUCCGGAGCUAACGCGUUAAGUCGACCGCCUGGGGAGUACGGCCGCAAGGUUAAAACUCAAGAAAUUUGACGG